GCUGCCCCUAGAGUCAUUGUAGAUAUGGCUGCUGUACCACAUGCACAUCAGUAGGUGGCAGAGAAGAGAGAGGCUAUGCCCAUAUUCAGUGUUCUGAGCUAUGACUAUCUGAGUGAUUAGUAUAACAUU